GACGAACGCUGGCGGCGUGCCUAGUACAUGCAAGUCGAGCGGAUCUUGUCCUUCGGGACAAGGUUAGCGGCGGACGGGUGAGUAACACGUAGGCAACCUGCCCGCAAGCCCGGGAUAACUACCGGAAACGGUAGUUAAGACCGGAUACGCAGCCGAGGGGCAUCCCUUGGCUGGGAAAGACGGAGAAAUCUGUCGCUUGCGGAUGGGCCUGCGGCGCAUUAGCUUGUUGGUGAGGUAACGGCUCACCAAGGCGACGAUGCGUAGCCGACCUGAGAGGGUGAAAGGCCACACUGGGACUGAGACACGGCCCAGACUCCUACGGGAGGCAGCAGUAGGGAAUCUUCGGCAAUGGACGAAAGUCUGACCGAGCAACGCCGCGUGAGUGAGGAAGGGUUUCGGCUCGUAAAACUCUGUUGCCAGGGAAGAACGCCACCAGGAGUAACUGCCUGGUGGGUGACGGUACCUGAGAAGAAAGCCCCGGCUAACUACGUGCCAGCAGCCGCCGCAGUAA
rnacentral:rRNA from 1 species